rnacentral:rRNA from 1 species
AGAGUUUGAUCAUGGCUCAGCGCGAACGCUGGCGGCAUGGCUAAAACAUGCAAGUCGAGCGCGAAAGCCAUUUCGGUGGCAAGUAGAGCGGCGAAAGGACGAGUAAUGCGUUCCUACGUACCCCGAGGUCAGGGAUAGCCCAGGGAAACUUGGAUUAAUACCUGAUGUGGUGCUUCGGCAUCAAAGGCUUGCCGCCUCGGGAGCGGGGAACGUCCUAUCAGGUUGUUGGUGAGGUAAAGGCUCACCAAGCCUUAGACGGGUAGCGGGUGUGAGAGCAUGACCCGCCGUAUCGGGACUGAGACACUGCCCGGACUCCUACGGGAGGCUGCAGUAACGAAUCUUCCGCAAUGCGCGAAAGCGUGACGGAGCAAUGCCGCGUGCAGGAUGAAUCCCCUCGGGGUGUAAACUGCUGUCAGGGUUUAGCAACACAAUGAGCAGACCCAAAGGAAGGGCCGGCUAACUUCGUGCCAGCAGCCGCGGUAACACGAAGGGCCCGAGCGUUGCGCGGAAUCACUGGGCUUAAAGCGUACGUAGGCGGGCAUGCAGGCGUCUUGUGAAAGCCCUCGGCUCAACCGAGGAAUUGCUCGACGAACCGCAUGUCUUGAGGCAGGUAGGAGCUGUCGGAACGAUAGGUGGAGUGGUGAAAUGCGUUGAUAUCUAUCGGAACGCCGAAGGAGAAAUCAGGCAGCUGGGCCUGUCCUGACGCUGAGGUACGAAAGCGUGGGGAGCGAACGGGAUUAGAUACCCUGGUAGU